UUUCCGUAGGUGAACCUGCGGAAGGAUCAUUACCGAGUGGGGGCCCUCUGGGUCCAACCUCCCACCCGUGUUUAUCGUACCUUGUUGCUUCGGCGGGCCCGCCUCACGGCCGCCGGGGGGCACCCGCCCCCGGGCCCGCGCCCGCCGAAGACACCAUUGAACGCUGUCUGAAGAUUGCAGUCUGAGCAUCUAGCUAAAUCAGUUAAAACUUUCAACAACGGAUCUCUUGGUUCCG
rnacentral:misc_RNA from 1 species